rnacentral:rRNA from 1 species
AUGCAUGGUGACGAGGAAACACUGAACCCUACAUCAGGAAACAGCCUAGUAAUCUAUUGUGGUGAAAGAACAGUUUGUUUUGUGCUCACCAUGCAGGGGAGGAGGCGACGAGGUCCGGGUGGUGGUAGUACUCCAGGAACUCUAUGUAUAGCAUGCAGGGACUUCCCUCACGCGCAACAUUCAUGUUCCGAAUUUCCCUUCAGCACUACUUUGCACGUGAAACAUUGCAGCAAGUGCUACUGUUUUGUUUGUGAUGCUCCAGCUCCAUGCAAGAAUUGGGAUAAAGGUCUCUUGAAUGAUCAUCAUUGUCAUUCUACGGACAAGGAAACAAAGUGGAAAACUCUGAGGCAGCUGUCCAAGUUAAAUAAUCUGGCAGCAUCUUAUCCAGAAAGACACUUGACCAAAAUGCAGUCUGCCUAG